GCCAAAGAAAGGCAAAAAUGUGGUACUCAUGAGACGCUGCAUAGGGAUGGGAGAAUCUGUAGCCAGGAACAUAAUGGAUUACAAUGCCACAAAAGGAGGGGUGGACAAUUUAGACAAGCUGGUGACUGGCUACAGCUGCAAAAGAAGAACCCUACGCUGGCCACUUGUGAUAUUCUUCAACAUCUUGGUGUACAACGCGUUUGUCAUCUGGAUGGCGUUGAACCCAGAUUGGAACAGAGGGAAGCUCCAGAGGAGACGGAUCUUUCUCGAGGAGCUGGGCAAGGCAUUGGUACCUGGGCUGAAGUCCCCCCAAAGGACCAGUAUGGGGCGGCAGGUAGCCUAGUGGUUAGAGCUUUGGACUAGUAACCGGAAGGUUGCAAGAUUGAAUCCCCGAGCUGACAAGGAGGUAUCCUAUCUGCCAAAACAUGGCCAUCCCCUAAAGAAGAACAGCUACUGCAGGUAGUUGUUCCAGAAGUUGACAACCCAGUGAACGCUAUACCAGAUAGACCAAAACCACAGAAACCCUUGGAUCUGAGGUGACAUCUAUCUACGUUAGUGCAGGGAGACCAGGAGCGGCAGUGGAAGUCCACCACCCAGUGGACAAAGUGAGCACUUCAUCAAAAUAGAAGACUGAAUCACAGUCCCCCCCAGCAACCAGCGGUACAAGAGUGCCAUCCAAUGGAACUCAAUUUGUUUGUAUGUUCAUUAGCACAGAAUACAUGAACCCAAUUUUUGCUUCAAGACGCUGGCAAUUUGAAAAAGUAGAUUGUGCUGAUUUAUUGGCACAUUGAACCAUGUAUAAUUUUGUUUAUACAUAUAUAUUUUACAGAGCUGCUACUCACUGUUUAUUAUCUAUGCAUAGUCGCUUUACC
rnacentral:lncRNA from 1 species